rnacentral:rRNA from 1 species
CAGCAGCCGCGGUAAUACAGAGGGUGCGAGCGUUAAUCGGAUUUACUGGGCGUAAAGCGUGCGUAGGCGGCUUUUUAAGUCGGAUGUGAAAUCCCUGAGCUUAACUUAGGAAUUGCAUUCGAUACUGGGAAGCUAGAGUAUGGGAGAGGAUGGUAAAAUUCCAGGUGUAGCGGUGAAAUGCGUAGAGAUCUGGAGGAAUACCGAUGGCGAAGGCAGCCAUCUGGCCUAAUACUGACGCUGAGGUACGAAAGCAUGGGGAGCAAACAGGAUUAGAUACCCGAGUAGUCCCUGUCUCUUAUAC